GACGAACGCUGGCGGCGUGCUUAACACAUGCAAGUGGAGCGACGAACCGGGCUUCGGCCCGGGGCAAAGCCGCGAACGGGUGAGUAACACGUGGGUAACCUGCCCCGUUGACCGGGACAACCCGAGGAAACUCGGGCUAAUACCGGAUGAGCUCUCAAUCCAUCAGGGUUGUGAGGAAAGGAAGCUUCGGCCUCCGCAUCGGGAUGGGCCCGCGGCCCAUUAGCUUGUUGGUGGGGUAAUGGCCUACCAAGGCUGCGAUGGGUAGCUGGUCUGAGAGGACGAUCAGCCACACUGGGACUGAGACACGGCCCAGACUCCUACGGGAGGCAGCAGUGGGGAAUCUUGCGCAAUGCGCGAAAGCGUGACGCAGCAACGCCGCGUGUGGGAAGACGGCCUUCGGGUUGUAAACCACUUUCAGUUGGGACGAAGCCUUGCCGGUGAAUAGCCGGCUGAGGUGACGGUACCUUCAGAAGAAGCCCCGGCUAACUACGUGCCAGCCGCCGCAGUAACAC
rnacentral:rRNA from 1 species